rnacentral:rRNA from 1 species
CAGUCGCCACGGGAAUACGUAGGGUGCAAGCGUUAAUCGGAAUUACUGGGCGUAAAGCGUGCGCAGGCGGUUAUAUAAGACAGAUGUGAAAUCCCCGGGCUCAACCUGGGAACUGCAUUUGUGACUGUAUAGCUAGAGUACGGCAGAGGGGGAUGGAAUUCCGCGUGUAGCAGUGAAAUGCGUAGAUAUGCGGAUGAACACCGAUGGCGAAGGCAAUCCCCUGGGCCUGUACUGACGCUCAUGCACGAAAGCGUGGGGAGCAAACAGGAUUAGAUACCCCGGUAGUCCCUGUCUCUUAUAC